rnacentral:rRNA from 1 species
UACGAAGGGGGCAAGCGUUGUUCGGAAUUACUGGGCGUAAAGCGCACGUAGGCGGACUACUAAGUCAGGGGUGAAAUCCCGGGGCUCAACCCCGGAACUGCCUUUGAUACUGAUAGUCUCGAGUCCGGAAGAGGUGAGUGGAAUUCCGAGUGUAGAGGUGAAAUUCGUAGAUAUUCGGAGGAACACCAGUGGCGAAGGCGGCUCACUGGUCCGGUACUGACGCUGAGGUGCGAAAGCGUGGGGAGCAAACAGG